rfam:Triticum urartu cultivar G1812 contig1052893, whole genome shotgun sequence.
AUAGUACUCCUUCUCCCGAAAAUAUUUAUCAUCAAAAUGAAUAAAAUGAGAUGUAUCUAGACAUAUUUUAAUUCUAAAUACAUUCAUUUUUAUUCAUUUUGAUGACAAGUAUUUUCGGACGGAGGGAGUAUACU